rnacentral:rRNA from 1 species
AGGGCACCACCAGGAGUGGAGCCUGCGGCUUAAUUUGACUCAACACGGGGAAACUCACCCGGCCCGGACACCGGAAGGAUUGACAGAUUGAUAGCUCUUUCUUGAUUCGGUGGAUGGUGGUGCAUGGCCGUUCUUAGUUGGUGGAGCGAUCUGUCUGGUUAAUUCCGAUAACGAACGAGACUCUAGCCUAUUAAAUAGACGUCGGGUUCUCUGCACUCGACGGUCUUCUUAGAGGGACAAGGUGCUUUUAGCACCGCGAAACAGAGCAAUAACAGGUCUGUGAUGCCCUUAGAUGUCCGGGGCCGCACGCGCGCUACACUGAAGGAAGCAGCGUGUAACAACCUUGUUCUAACGAACUGGGUAACCCGUGGAACUUCCUUCAUGAUUGGGAUAGGGGUUUGCAAUUGUGCCCCUUGAACGAGGAAUUCCCAGUAAACACUAGUCAUCAGCUAGUGCUGAUUACGUCCCUGCCCUUUGUACACACCGCCCGUCGCUACUACCAAUUGAAUGGUUCAGUGA